rnacentral:rRNA from 1 species
UCAAAAACAUGUCUUAAAGAUUAUAAUUUUAAGUCUAGCCUGCUCAAUGAUUAAUUAUUUAAAUAGCUGCAGUAUAUUGACUGUACAAAGGUAGCAUAAUCAAUAGUUUAUUAAAUGUAAGCUUGAAUGAAGGGUUGAAUGAAAUAAUUACUUUAUUAAUUUUAAUAAUAGAAUUUUUAUUUCAAUAAAAAUAUUGAAAUGAUUUUAAUAGACGAGAAGACCCUAUAGAUUUUAAUAAUUUUUUUUAUUUAAUUAAUUUAAUUUGUUAAUUUAUAAAAAAUUAAAUUAUUUAGUUGGGGAGAUUUUUAAAUUUUUUAAACUUUAAAAAUUUAAAACAUGAAUUAAUGAUAGUUUGAUCUAGAAUUUUUGAUUAUAAGAAAAAAAAUACCUUAGGGAUAACAGCGUAAUUUUUUUGGAGAGUUCAUAUUGAUAAAAAAGUUUGCGACCUCGAUGUUGAAUUAAGAAAAAAUUUAAAUGAAGAAGUUUAAAAAUUUUAGUCUGUUCGACUAUUAAAAUCUUACGUGAUCUGA